rnacentral:rRNA from 1 species
UUCUUUUAGAUUUAAUUGAAAGUAUCCUCUGCUCAAUGAUUUAUUAAAUAGCAGCAGAUUUCUGUUCUAAGGUAGCAUAAUCAAUUGUCUUAUUAAUUGUAGACUUGUAUGAAAGAGGGAAUAAUUUAUGACUUUAUUUUCUGUAUUUAUUUAAAUUAAUUUUUUAGUAAAAAAGCUAAAAUGAAAUAUAGGGACAAGAAGACCCUAUAAAGCUUAAUAAUUUGAGUAAUUUUGAUAUUAUUUAAAUUAUUUGUUGGGGCAAUAUAUUAUUAUAAAAAUUAUAAUAAUAAUAGAUAAAUUAAUAUUGUUGAUCCUAUUAUAUAGAUAAUUUGAAAGAGUUACUUUAGGGAUAACAGGAUAAUUUUUAUAAGAAAGUACAAAUUUUUUAUGAAGAUUAUUACCUCGAUGUUGAAUUAAUUAUAUAAUAGGGAGAAAAAAUUCUAUGUAUUUGACUGUUCGUCAAUUAAAAAAUUACA